rnacentral:misc_RNA from 1 species
AACUUUCGACAAUGGAUCACUUGGCUCUCGCGUCGAUGAAGAACGCAGCGAAAUGCGAUAAGUAAUGUGAAUUGCAGAAUUAAGUGAAUCAUCGAAUCUUUGAACGCACCUUGCGCCCGUUGGUAUUCCGACGGGCAUGCCUGUUUGAGUGUCUUGAAAUCAUCAACCUCCCCGUUUUGCGCUGGGUUCUCGGUUGGAGUUGGGGGGUUCUUUGCUGCCGAAAGGCGGCUCCCCUUGCAUGCGUCGGUUGGGUUCCUUAGGCUUUUGCGUCGAAAUGGGGCGUUGUAUCAUCCUCGCUCUCGCUAGACUGCGGCUUAGGUUUUGUUCCCUUCCUUGACUUAGCCUCUGGAGUGGCGGUCGAUACCAAUUGAAUUCUGACCUCAAAUCAGGUAGGACUACCCGCUGAACUUAAGCAUAUCAAUAAGCGGAGGCU